rnacentral:rRNA from 1 species
CCUAGGGGAGGCAGCAGUGAGGAAUAUUGGUCAAUGGGCGUAAGCCUGAACCAGCCAAGUCGCGUGAGGGAUGAAGGUUCUAUGGAUCGUAAACCUCUUUUAUAAGGGAAUAAAGUGCGGGACGUGUCCCGUUUUGUAUGUACCUUAUGAAUAAGGAUCGGCUAACUCCGUGCCAGCAGCCUCGGUAAUACGGAGGAUCCGAGCGUUAUCCGGAUUUAUUGGGUGUAAAGGGUGCGCAGGCGGCGUGUCAAGUCAGCGGUAAAAUGUCGGGGCUCAACCCCGGCCGGCCGUUGAAACUGGCGUGCUCGAGUUGGAGAGAAGUAUGCGGAAUUCGUGGUGUAGCGGUGAAAUGCAUAGAUAUCACGAAGAACCCCGAUUGCGAAGGCAGCAUACUGGCUCCACACUGACGCUGAGGCACGAAAGCGUGGGUAUCGAACAGGAUUAGAUACCCUGGUAGUC